AACGAACGCUGGCGGCGCGCCUAAUACAUGCAAGUCGAGCGAGAAGGUGUAGCAAUACACUUGUAAAGCGGCGAACGGGUGAGGAAUACAUGGGUAAUCUACCAUCGAGUGGGAAUAACCAACCGAAAGGUUGGCUAAUACCGCGUACGCCUCCGAGUCUUCGGGUUCGGAGGGAAAGCUGCACUGUGAGUGUAGCGCUCUUUGAUGAGCUCAUGUCCUAUCAGCUUGUUGGUAGGGUAACGGCCUACCAAGGCUUUGACGGGUAGCUGGUCUGAGAGGACGAUCAGCCACACUGGCACUGCGACACGGGCCAGACUCCUACGGGAGGCAGCAGUAAGGAAUAUUGCGCAAUGGGCGAAAGCCUGACGCAGCGACGCCGCGUGGGGAGUGAAGGUCUUCGGAUUGUAAACCCCUUUACGGGUAGGGAAGAUGGAGCGAGCAAUCGUUCGGACGGUA
rnacentral:rRNA from 1 species